rnacentral:rRNA from 1 species
UAAGAGGUCCCGCCUGCCCUGUGACACUAGUUUAACGGCCGCGGUACCCUAACCGUGCGAAGGUAGCGCAAUCACUUGUCUCUUAAAUGGGGACCUGUAUGAAUGGCAUAACGAGGGCUUAACUGUCUCCUUUUUCAGGUCAAUGAACUUGAUCUCCCCGUGCAGAAGCGGGCAUAUAGACAUAAGACGAGAAGACCCUAUGGAGCUUUAGACACAGGACAGACCCUGUCAAGCCUCCUGCCAGGAGUAAAACUAAGUAAUCAUCUGUUACAUGUCUUUGGUUGGGGCGACCGCGGAGAAAAAUUUAACCUCCUACGUUGAAGGGGGGAGCCUUUGAACCUACCCUCUAGAGUCGAGAGCCACAGCUCUAAGCAACAGAACCUUUGACCAGCUAAGAUCCGGCAAAGCCGAUCAACGGACCGAGUUACCCUAGGGAUAACAGCGCAAUCCUCUUCUAGAGUACAUAUCGACGAGGGGGUUUACGACCUCGAUGUUGGAUCAGGACAUCCUGAUGGUGCAGAAGCUAUCAAGGGUUCGUUUGUUCAACG